UUUGGGGCUAGGGUAACUUUUAAGGUUUUUGGCGAUAGGGUUAAAAUCACUGUCCAAAACCUUUGUAGGAACUCUUUUCCAACCUUUUGGAGUUAGUUAGACCACAAAAAAUGAAAAAUAAAAAAAAAUUAUUUGGGGUGUUCGGGCUUCCUGAAGGUAAUACCCGGGUAUUAGGUUUUGGGGCUAGGGUAAGGUUUAAGGUUUUUGGCGU